GUUUGGAGGCCUGGCCUGGUGACAGAGCAGCGCUGAGGAAUCCCAAAGUAAUACCUACCUGGACAGGGGCAGGAAAAUACCCAAACAGGCCACUAAUCCUUCCACUUGGCCACCCACUGUAAAGAAAAAAAUGCUGUUGGAGGCCUACUGUGAUUUAGUUCCUGCCUGCAGCAAGCUGAAGUGAACUGUAACGAGUUAGAGGGACAACAGAGGUAUCACUGAGUCUGUUGAUAGUAACAGUGCUAAUUUGAAAGGUACAAGAAGAGCUGAGCACACAGGAAC
rnacentral:lncRNA from 1 species